GGAUUAACUCAGCGGUUGAGUGCUACCUUCACACGGUAGAAGUCGUUGGUUCAAACCCACAUCGCGCACCA
rnacentral:tRNA from 2 species